GGUCCCAAAUGAUAGACAUAUUUCCAGAGCCAGAUUUCUGGGUUUUCUCAGUGGGACUGUAUGUGAUGGGUUUUAUGGUUUUGUUGAGGGUAGGAGGUGACAGCUCAUUUCCAAGAGUGGGCAAGGAGAUCCUCCAUGACAGUGUACUAUGGUCCCCUGGAGUAGGUGCUCCAUUGGAGGCAGGGUGCCUGCAUACCCUUUAUCUUCUGAGCUUUGUGUGGAUGGUGGUCCAUCUCACUUGCCCUAACCUGAAGGCAGCUCCUUCCAUGUGGUGCCAUGUCAAAGCUUAUUCUUUUCCCUUCAUCUUCACUUCCUCUGAAAUGAAUCCCCCCUCCCCCGUCUUCCUUCUGCCCUCUUAGCCUUCAUUGUGGAAGCCCAGAGUCUUAGGAUUUUCCUGCAGCAUUGUGUUAAAGACAUGUGAUCCCCUGCCCGACCCACCAUGCCUCCAUUGCAAUUGUAUCCUGGUCAAACUAUUACCCUUUUCUCUCUGGCAUUUUUGACACAGUUUAGGGUGAAGAACAAACAGUUUAACUUUCGGAAUGAGGGACAUUCUGGCCCUGAGCUUCAUCCAGACUUUUUCCAGAUACCACUUUUAAUUCUUACAUUUUCUAGCCACUGAUUUUAGUGUAGACAUUUGCCACCAGAGUACUUCUACCCAAGGACCACCUAGAAUGACUCAUUUAGGAUCUCUGAGAGGUAGGUCUCUUGGACCUGAGGACCAAAUAGGGGCAAGGAGAUAUGACUGGGAUCAUAGCAGAGUGGAGCAGAGCAGGCCUAGGAACUAACUGUAUAUGCCCACAGUGGUCUCAAAGGUGUCUGAAGCCUCUAGCUUUUGUGUCUGAGUAGAGAGCAUCUUGACUAGAAAGGCUGCAUAAGUGUAGGAAUUGGGAAUUUAAUGAAAACCUGACUGCCAUUUUUCAGAGAAUUCUGUUGUCUAUUCGUCACUGGACAAAAGUAGAUAGGUACUCCUGGAUCAGUUCUUGUACCCACAGGUACAGGUCCUUCUCCACACUGCUCUGCCCAGGUUUAUCUUGCAUCUGUCACAGUUGAGGACUAUUGUUCCAGGGGCUACAUAUAAACUCCAAUUGCAGAUCAUUAGUUGGUUUUGUGAGCACAGCCCAGUUGAUCUACCUUCCUUUCUCUUCCCAACAGAGAACUCAAAGAGUACAGCUCCAUCUGUAAGUAGGUGACAACCUCUUGGCAACUCGAGCUCAGCUGAGGAUGAUGUGUGUGCAUCUAAGCUGGUUAGAGCGGUCAGCUUACAUUUUUAUGGAACAGAAAAGAGGACCUGCUUGACCACUCUGCUUGCAGUAGAUGCUGAUAGAUGACAGGUCAUGCUGGAUGAAGUUGCUGAGGUGGGAUGGCCAGUAGGAUGCCAUGUUUAGAAAAGGAAAGACUUGGGUACUCAAUAUGGCCAAAGGUGGUUAUGUCUUAUGUCAAAUAUCAGCUCCUAGUGUCUCCUCUGUUUCCUGCUUGACUUGCCCUGUUCAAGAAUAUCUUCUGACUUUUCUUCACUCUUUUGGAUCUUUUACUCUCUGUGCUUUCCUACACCCCUCUUCUUCCCUUUGAUUUUUUUUUUCUUUAGGAUGAAUGAGGACAUUCUCAGUUACUGGUCCAAAGUAACUGUUCUUUCUGUUUUGUAUCUUCACCUUCAUUUAGCAAGGCAGGUAGAGGAGGUUGUCCUGGGAAGGGAGGUGGGUGGUGAAUAAGCUCAUGGUGUUGGGUGCUGGAGCAUGGUAAGUUAGAUCGUCUUUUCUUUCUUUAGGUAAUCUUGAGCCACCAAUUUGUGUGGUUCCGUGACCUCAGGUGUGGUCUGAUGCAACAUGGACCUAGUCUUGUUGGUGGAUUAAUAUCAGGCUAUUGAUUAGAAACUAGAAGCAACAAAGGAAAGGCUUGAGCUUGCCUCCCAUGUAGCUGGAGUGUGGCUGCUCCCUGGAUCUGUUCCUUGAAACUUUACCAUUGAGAACCUCCAACAGUUGUCCUUUUUUCCAUUCUUCCAUUCCUGAUUUUUCUAUGAAUGGAAUGAGUAACUGGCGGAGUCCUGGUAUAAGGUCAGCCUGCUCAACUAGCUAGGCUGUGAGAUAUUUGGGAGAUAUCUGGGUAGCACUGUAGACAGUGUGUGGCCGUACCAGGGCACCUUUGCUUCCUACAGUCAGAGAAAGGAAGCUUCUUUGCUGCUGACAUCUAACCUGAGCUUAUUCUGGGUUAUCGUUCCCCUUUCAAUCCCUAAGAUCCUGGGAGCUGCCCAGGGCUCAAGCAUGCUCUUUCCUGUGCAGAGUGUUUAUUUGCCUUACUCUGGACACACUGAGCCUUUAAGGGGCUUAGGCUAGGUCUGGGGUCUAAAGCUUAGGCUAAGGAGUGACUGGAUUCUGAAUUUUUCUCUACUUGGGAUUUUCCUUUGAAUGAAUCAUUUUCUUCUUUCGGCCUUCAGUUGUCUUCAGAAUAUCUCCAGGCACUUGACAGGGAAAAUCUUCUCCUGCUUUACCGCCAGAGCAGUAUUGAGUUAAAGUGAUGGUGUCCCUCAAAACUGGGAAGACAGCUCCAUUGCAGACACAAACCAGAAAGCAGACAGCAGGUGCUUGCUGGGAUACUCAGAAUUCCCUGUCUAUCAUUGCUGGCAGUGUUCUUGGCCCCUAGGGCUAGUGGGAACUAACUAACAGCCAGAUGUCUAGGGUCUAAGGAGAAAAGGAAUAAUCCUGGCUAAUUCUACUGGGUACCUGUGGAAUCUCAAUGCCAGCUAGCCCAUGCAGCUACUCUGCUGGCAUGGUGUAGAUGUGUUUCACCUUCCCUGCCCCUCCCACUACUGUCCAAGGAAGAUUAAUGAAUCCCAUCUCACAUGUUUAAUUGUCUUGUGUCUCCCUUUGGGACAAGCCUCUGAGAUCCCUGGCAAGAACAGUCAAUUUGGAUGAGUUAUCUGUUAUUUCAAGGAGCUGAACCAGUUCAUUUUACUGCCUCAGUGGUGUGUGAGGGUCAGCUGGGGGUGGGGGUAAAAGGGCUGAAGUUUGAAUAAAGAGUUAAGUUCAGUUGGCUUUACAGCUGGGAGGUGGAAAGGAAUAAACUUGGUUCUUAGAGAUGAGCCCCACUGGAAGCCAGAUGUGCUGCUAGCUAUGCCUCAGAACCUUAGGGCUUGUGCCCUACUGUGGUGACCUCUGCUACCAUUCACAGCCCUUCCUUUGCCUGAUUAGGAAAGUGAGUGGAGAGCAAAGACGAUCUUGGCUUUGCCCUGUGUCAUACAGCUGUCUCUCUGAAUUAGGGCUGUACCUCCCUGCCCAUUUCCUCUUUCAGACCCUUGUCUAAUGCCUUGCUCCUAGUCACUAACCUGGCUUCUGAUGUGUUACCAGCCAAGCAGGCAGGACAGUUAGCAUUCCUUGUAGGAUCUAAGCAUGCCUGACAUUUUUUCCUUGGCCUCUGAGUCUGUGAGUUCUGGAAGACAACUAUCAUACUGAAGCUGAGAUGACAUGACUGACCAUAGUAAAAUGCACGGUGCCCUACCCAUGGACCUGAUUGGUCCACACCAUCUGGGUUCCACUGUAUCCUUUUCUUACUGGGGCUAUGAAUUGUUCAGUGCAUAUCUUGGAUCUAUCCACUGGCAUGGGUAGAUUCCCAAAGCUGCAGAUUUAGAGGAUAUGAACUCUCACAGGUCACUUUUUUAUAUGUGUGGCCUGCCUGGGGGGUAAGAUACUGUCCUUUUAAUCAGCCUGCCAUCAUUUUUCUGGUCAGUGGCCAUGAGGAAAGCAUAUACUGGGUUUACUUUCUUGCUGACUGUUUCUACCUGCUAAUGGGCUGUUAAGCAAGAAAAUACUCUUGAGACCCCGUGGUCUGUACAGAGCCUCCCACUGUGGAGUCAUACCUAUGUAGGUAGAGUACAGGAAUAGGAUGGAGGAAACCAUGCAGGGCCAUGGCUGUUUGUGAUUGGAUAAUAGGAACAAGUCACAAGGGUGAGGGAAGACACAUCCAGGGUGGAGCCAGGAUGAGUCUAUAGUGAAGCAAUGAGAUGGCAUCAAAUAUCUUAGUCUCCAUAUGCCAUCCAUGGAAAAGAAAACUGUCUUUCCACUCUUGGUAACAGAUAUUAUUUCCCUUUUAUUGUUAGUGAAAGUGUCAUUAUUAAAUGACUUAAGUCAUAGUCACACAAUCGAUGAGUGAUGUUGAGAUUGGCUUCAGCAUGUUUGAUUCCAAAGCCCUUUGUUUUCUCCUCACUCUAGGGCUGAAUUCAGACAUUUUUGUGAAUUAAUAUCCUCAGGAAAUGAUAUCAUCUCAAGUGAAAACAAGCAUUCUAGGUCCCAGUAAGGCUGUGCACAUUCAUUGUUUGGAGAGGUGAAGCAAAUGUUGUUUGGUAUCUGUGCUGGGGGGAAACAAUUCUCUUUUAGAUGUUUAGGAAUGUACUUGGUGCUGGAUGAGACUAAGUUUCUUCUUGUGCUGUGUAAAAUACACAGAAGCCAUAGAUAACAUUGUAUGUGGAUGAAGAAGAUGACACUCACUGAAAAUAUGGUGACUAAUUUCUGUCAUGUCAGCACUUAGGAAGCUGAAGCAGGAGACUCAAGUUCUAACCUUGCCUGAGCUAUAUAGUGAGACCCUGUCUUAAUAGACAAGUCUUGAAGUGCCUCAGUACCCUGGGAAACUAUGUUCUUUGAGUUGUUUUUUAAAAGAUUAGAACUGUAUGGCUGCCCUUAGCCUCUGUCUUCUUCCUUCAGCCCUCAUCAGGCAUCAGUUGCCAUUGUUCCUCAGUCUAAUCACCAAGGCUCUCUUGUCUGUGCAGCACAGGAAGCAUUCAGAUCAGGUCUUUGCUAAGUCACUGACUAAGUAUGUGCUUGCUAACUUGAAUCCCAGUCUCUUCUGGGCCUAUGGUUUCUUCAGGGAAUAGACAAGCCCAGGUGGGGAGAAGUCACCCAGUGUUAGAUGCUUUGUGUGCUUUGUGCUCUAGGAGACCGAGGCAGGCCAGUGGUGCUGAGCCACAAGGGCUUCUGCUCCAUGUGUUAAACUUCAGGAUUCAGAACUUGUUUACUUGGGAAGAGGUGGCUAAGGUGAGCUAGAGUAUGCAAUUCCCUCCUCCUUGGCCUAACAUUGCUGCUUGGGACUAUUCUAAAUAUAGGAGCAGCCAUUGGCUGAAAGUGUCAAAAGCUGCACAGGGGUAAGGGGAUGUGUGGUUAAAGGUUAUGGCAUGUGGAAAUAGGUCAGGGAAAGUGAGUUUAUGCUAUUUUGUGUUCAUGCCCAUGUCCUCAGUUUACUUGAUUGUGAAACAGGUUUUGAAUGAGGACCCUGUUGGAGGUUCCAAUUCAUCUUACCCCUAGGACAAUCCUUGAUGUUUGUGGAGAUUUUGCUUAGCUAGAAACUCAAGGCCAGGAAAAUGAACCCAAGUUGCUGAGAGAGAAAGGAGGGAUCAAGAAAAGACCUAAGAGCAACCAAGUUUUGUUCCAAAGAGGAACCCUAGUACUAGUGUAAAUGAUGGUGAUGGGCUUUAGGUAGGUAGUAGAAAUGGGCUUUUGGAUGGGUGGCAGUGAAGAGAAAGAGUUAAGCGAGUGAAAGUAGUUGGUGAGGACCUACCAGGUGACAGGAUAAGACACUGUUCCCUCUUAGAGACAAGUGGGAGAUGUGCAUAUGGGAUCUGGCUGUAGUGCAGGACUUGGUAGGGUUCUGGAUCUCUGGGCCUUCAUUUCUUAUUUUGCACAUUGGAGAGGAGAAGGAAAACCAAGACUAUCUUUAUUCUCCUGCCCUCUGUUUGUCUUACUGCUUGGAGCUCUUGGGAGAUCUGGCUUGCACUUGGCUAGAAUACUAGGCAUUCCCCAUAUUCCUGAAAAUAUUUCUUGUUAAGCCAUUUUGACACCUUCAUGGAGUUUUUCCUCUGAAUCCAGGCCUGUUUCUACUACGUGUUGCUCACUGAGAGAGGAAGUUUCUCUAUGGCAACUUUGAGAUUUUUCCCAUUCUGUUUGUGAAGGAUGCCUGGAGCUUUCCCAGCAUGUGUGUUGUGUCUCUGUUAUCUGUUUGCUGACUAACAUAUACCACCCAUAAUAGUUAGAUGCUAGGAAUACUGUCAUCAAUUCAGAAGCCUUGCCUCAUGAUCAGUGUGGAAAAAUAGGCCUCCCUUGUGUAGGAAAAGCAUGUCAGAGGAGUGAUGGGCCCCGGGUUUCUUUGAGUUCCAAAAACAUUUCAUUCUUUUAAAGGGUGCUGAGGCUGAGUAUUGGUCUGUAUGACCUCUUGGCUGUUCAGCCUCUAAGUGACCUUUAUUUAAAUAGACCCAAGGCUCUGAUGAAGGGCUAGAGAAGUGCUUGUCUUCGAUUAUCAUGAACUUAGUCCUGAAGGGUUAGACUUUCUCUGGGAGUGUUACCUUCAGAACAAUUGAGGUUGCAGGGUUAGCAAACAUCUGUGUCUGCUUAUAAGUGUCGGUUUCUCUGUGUUCCCUGAAUGCAACUGCAACUAUAUUUUGAGUGGGAGGGUACAUGGAAGCACUUUUGAUGGAGGAGGCCUUUAGCAUCCUUCUAUGAGUCUGUCCUGUAUUAGAGCUGGUUCUUUCUAGUUACCUGGAGAAUGGAAAAGAAGGUGGUUCCAACCCAAAGCUGUGAGGGAAAUUCAUGUAGAUGUCAUGAAAGGCCUGUGUGAAACUUUCCUGAGUUCUAAAGGAGUACAGAACUUCCUGAGGAGAAGACAUUAGCUGCUCUUGUCAGGUCUGCCUGGGCCUGAGCCUAUGGGACUUUGAGAUGACUCCUGAAACUGUGUGUGGCCAAUGUAGCAGGAUAUAAAGUGGCUCCUUGGUUCUACCUUUAGUCAACCCUGGCUGCCUUUGUGCAUCCUUAAGCUGGGAGAGUGGAGGAGACAGUGUAGGCACAGAACCUGGAAGUAUAACCCAUUUUCCUUUUCAGAGAGAAUUUCUGUCACUGAACCAAUGGGAACUGUCCUUAAUUCUCAUACAAAAAGUAGAGAAAGUAUAUGCUGUCUCUCAUAUCUUCCAGGGAAGAUCUGUUCUAUUCCUGUAAUUGUAUCCUUACUACUCCUAUCCUGGGCCAUUACUCCCCAUGAAGGGGACUCUUGACUAUCAUUGUAGUUGGGGGAAAGGUAUUAGAGGAAGUGAGAUCAGAUGAGGUUUUCUAAGAACAAGGUCUAAGAGUUUCAGAGUAGACUCAUAGCUCUGGGAGUCACAAGUAUUGUUUUUGGUGCUAAAGGCUUAGGUGUGUGUUCAAGUGGACAUUAUAUUUAGAGGAAACCCAGAGUGUGAAAUAAUUAGUUAAUGGCAAAAUGAAAGUUGUGUUAAGUAUGGAAAAAUCCUGUGUCCUUUUGAGUUACUACUAACUGUAGACUUAGUAUCAGAAGGCUUGGUAAGACAGGCCUGUCUUAAGCUCACACUUACUUUUGAUUUUCUUGUCUGUUUCCUACUCUCCUUCAUUCCUUAACCAUUUCUGAACACAGUCAUUUCAAUCUACGGAGGAUUGGAUCCACAGAUGCUGAAGUCCUUUUGUGAAAUGAGAUUUUCAUUUAAUUUAUACAUAUCCUCUCACAAACUUUAAAUCAUGCCCAGAUUUCUUAUAAUACCUAACUCAAAGCAAAUGCUGUUUUAAGAAUUCUUUAGAGGAUAGUGGCAAAAAGGUCUGCUUGUAAAGAUGUAAUUCAUAUUUAUAUAUAUACACGUAUUCAUGCACAAUGAUUGGAGUUGGGGGGGUGCAGAACCUGGGGAGAUGGGGAGCUGACUAUAGUCUGUGCAGUUACAUUGCUACAUUCUUGAAGUACAGGUCUUCUGGUAUCAGUGAAUGAGUGACUUUGAUUUGGAGUAUAAACAGACUGCCCACUGCAGGGACCUUUGUGUCUCUGGGGUUUGGCUAUCUAUGAACCCUGGCAGAGGUCAAUUUGACCUAUCAUAGGUACCUAAUUUGGGGUGGUGGUUGUUUAGGUAUGCAAAUCCUAAGCCUGAUUAGCUGUUAUUUCUUUUCAGCUCAAAUUCAGAUGGCCUUGGAUGUCUAAGACCACAUGCCAUUCUGCUAGAUGAGAAAGGCCAGAAUGGAUAGGCACAGAGAGGGAGGGACACUGCCUCUGGCCACUGGCUGCUCUCCAAAACAGGUGAACUUUGUGUUCAAAAGGAAUGCAUUUAAUCUUUUGGGCCUAAUAGAAGUUACUUGUAUUUUCUCUCCUUUUUGCCCCUCCUUCCUCUUCACCCCCACCCUUGUUGCCUCCCCAGCCACCAAAGAAUUUAAUCUGCUGGACAACAAACAAUACAGUUAUAAAACUUUGAAAACAAGAGGGUGCGGCCUACCCAAUGAGGAAAGGGGCAUGCUGGGUAAUGGCCCCAGGGAACAUGCCAGGCUUCAGAUUGAGCCUGUGAGAGCCCAGUUGGCUGGGUACCUGAGUGCCUGCCCUGCCCAGUGCUAAGCUCUCCCCAGUCCAGAAGGGGACUUGUAAAGGGGAGUUGUCUGUGUUCCCCUCUGAUCUGAUGAGAAUGCACUAGACUGUGAACUUCCUCCUCUGCCUCUUCCCUUCCUCCUCCCCCUCCCACCUUCCUUCUCUUUCCACCUCCUCCCUUCCAUUGCUCUUGAGACUAGCAGACAGAAGUUAUAACAGAGGAGGGUUAGAAUGGCAGUAUAGGUGCUGCUACUAGCUGGGCCUGCGAAAGGUAAAACAGCGUUUAGGCUUGUGUUGCCUACAGGCUCAGACUUAUCUCUGCUAAGCCCAGUCUCCCUCCCCAACCCUGGGCAGUGCAGCGCAUAUACAUUGCAGCAUGUCCUCCAGUCUGUGUGCUGCCAGGCGUGUGCCCAGGUACUGUGGAGAACUACCACUAAGAGAUCAGUGGGUCCACCCUGGCUUCCUGGGCCUUGCCUAAGGCUGUGCUGAAGAGAAUGGCUGUUUUGCCCUCCACAGAAGUGAGGCUUGUUGCAGAAAACUCCUUGGAAUCAAGUGAGUAGGCACAUGGUCCCCUGAGUAUGACAACAGAUAGGAUGUUGUGUCUAUUCCUUCCCUUGCUUCCUGGUAGUAGGAAGAGUUGAUCAACCCUGGCUGGAUAAGGUGGGGAAGUUAGACUUGGGUAUCUCUGCCCUGACCUGAUUAAGCUGGUAUCCUUAUUGAAUCCUUCUCCACUGAGCCAUAUGGACCAUUUGGGAGUGGGCUGUGUAGGUCUGGGGCCAUGAACUUUGUGGUAGGCAUUGGGAGACCACAGACAGGCUUAUCUUUCCUCUUAUGGCAAGCUUCAGCUUCCAUGAAAGUACUUCUGGGCUGUGUUUCUCUCCCCUCUAUGAAAGCAGAGCUCUCUACUAAAAGAGGGCACAUUGCACUCUAGCCUUCACUCUGUACCUGCUUCCCUCCUUCUUCCAGAAGGCAGCCGUAGUACCAUGCCCUGUCUAGCCUAGAUAUUGUGCCAGGACCUUAGUGACCUGUAUGGAAUUGUACUGAGUUUGGGAGCUCUUGAGACCCAAGACUUGUUCAGUAGCAUUGAGGAAGGGACAGAAAACCUAGUUUUUAGAAUUUGGUUGCCCAGGAACAUAUGUCUCCAUGUCUCUAAUUCAGUGAAGUCAAGAGAGCCAGUGCUAGCCCCCAUGGGCUUCUAAAGCCUUUGCUUUUUUCCCUUGGUUACCCAAGCAGGCACUUGCAGGACACCUUGGGUCUCAAGAAUGUUAUGCCCACUUUGGGAAUCAGUGGUCACUGAUGUUAGGCCAACAAGCUCCAAAUUUCCCUUUAUCCAUGUAUCCUCAACAUAUAUCCCUUGUUUUAUCACCCUUUCCUCUGAUUCAUUAACCACAGCUUUUUGGCAGCAUUCCCUACCUACCCUGACAGCCAAAGACAAAAUGUCCUGGAUGCUGGGCCUGGGCUACUGUUGAGAGUGACAGGAAGCCAGGCAGCCUGUUCAGUUCACAUAUGCAGUCUCUCUUGGAGGUAAGAUGUUCCCUUUUCUUUGAAAAAAAACCUUCCCUAGCCACCUCUCCCAAAGAUGAGUUCUUCUAACUGGUGGGAACCCCCAAAUCAGUCUUCAGAGGCAGGCAAGAAAAUGGAUGGCAGGCUUCUGGCACCCUCCCCCAUUCUGGCAGGAACUCUCAUCAUGCAUACAACUGUGACUCAGCACCCAGUGCUGGGUCAGGAGCAAGAAGCUAUUGCCUGGCUGGAACCUUCCCACGUUCUGGCGUUCUGGCAUGUGAGCACGUCAGACAGCAGAGCUGGGCCAGCAGGGCGAGAUUCCUAGGGCAAGUAAUUUCCCCCUUCCACUGUUUUUCUUCCCACAUUUUUGGGGGUUCUGUUCUGGGCUCAUGAUAUUUAGGAUUCUAAAAAUCAUAGUGGUCAUAGACUAAAGGAGAAGUCGUCAUUUUGAUCUUUGUUUUUAGCCAGUGGCCCAUGAAGAGUGUUUAACCUUUAGUUGUGCUGUCUGGCCUGCAUCGGUUGGUUUUUCUGUGUUGAUUUUGUAUAUCUCUAGACAGAAUAUUAUUUUUUUCAGAUUAUUGUACCUCUCUUGCAUGCUGUUGCUGCUUCUGGCUAUUUCCUUCCUAAGUACUCUGGGGGUGUGUGUGUACAUGUGUGCAUGUGUGUCUGUGAGAGAGACAGAGACAGAGAAUUGACCAGUUUUCCCUAGCUUUACUCUUUACAGAUGAAUACACUAAAGCCAUUCUGAAUGAUAGCAGGGCCUGUUCGAAGCAUGUAGGCAAGCAGGUGCUCUGAUUUAACAAAAAGUGGCCUCGCUUCCACCCUUCUGGCUUCUGCCUUGCUGGAGAAGUGUCCCGUCAUGGGUGGGUAGAAUAGCCUCCAGAAAAAAAACAGGUACAGGGACAGAUGGAGGCUGAAGAGUGGUGUCUCAUACUUCUUCCCUGCCCAGUGACCUAUUCAGUACUGCUAAGUGAGGCAGGGUGGUUUCUUUUCUAGACAACCCCAUCAAAUCCUGUAGCUUGAAGUUUACUUGAAACCAUUUAAUUGAGGAGGGGGGAAAUCCCAUUAUUCUCACUGAGAUCAGAGCCCUAGCGGCUCAAGGUUUUCAUGGGCUGCUGUCAUAGACAUCCAGGUGACUCUCGGGCCUGGUGCCUGCCGGACUUUAUCAAAUCACCCAGCUAUUCCAAACUAGUGAAGGGUCACCAGCUUAUUUCAGAAAAGGAACAUUGCUCAGCUGACUAUGGGACUCACUUUUAUGGGAUGCUGAGGCCUGGGUGGAGUUGCAUGGACAAAGGGUCUGAAUACGCUAAGACUGCUUUUCUUUCCAUUUUCUGUAGCUUAGGGUUUAAGUCACCAUACUGUCAGUGGUUCUUAUCCACCACAAAACAGGGCUUACACUGGAACCCUAGACCUUAUUACCUUUUCCUUCACUGGUAGUUCCCCCUUGCUAGGCAUAGCACCUGCCCUGGGCCUGGGCAGCAUAUUUCACUUGCUGAAUAGGAAGAAAGGCAUUAGCUUCAUGCCAUGCUGAGGACCAAAAGAAAUAGGUAUUUUCUAAAUAGUAGCAAACUGGGCUAGCCUUGGAGAAAGCUUUCUAGAGCUGAGAUAAAACAAGUGGGGAUGGCAGCUGAGGGAGUAGGUGGAAAGUUGCCAAAGGGAGGUAACAGCACAGACCUAGACUUCUGGGAGAAAGAGUGUGUCCUGGAUCCCUGCAAGAUAUCUCUCCUUUAACAUAGUGGGGGGUGGGGUGGGGUGGACUAAGGAUACUAGCAAUAGGAACUUGCUAAGAAAAUUUAGCUGAAAUGAAAAUCAGAAAAGAUGAGUAUUAUCAUAUGCAUAUUAUUAUAUCUCUCCCCUUCAUUUACAAGGUUUUGACCCUUGUUAAUAACUGCCAUCUAUUUACGACCUAUUUAGUUCACAAGACCCUAACUUUGGCAACCAGUGUCACUGGCACUCGGGAACUCAGUGUAUAGAUUUGCUUGCACUUUUCUGUAGUUGAGACCCUGGAGAGCCUUCGGUUUCUCCUCUGGCUAGCCCAGUUUCUUAGAAGCUAAGCCUAUCAGUGUCAUUGGUAGGCUUCAUUGCAAUCAUCUUCCCUAUUGUGGGGAGGCAUCUUCCCUAUUGCACCAGUGGGGCAAUAAAGCAAAAGCAGGUUCUCCUAGACUAUCUGACCCCUUGCAGUACCAACACCAUGUGCCCUCUUUACAUGUGUUACAGUGAGUCUCUUCCACUCCAAUCCAGAUCCCCUGAGCUAAAUAUCCCUCCCCAGUCUAGGUAAGAGUUCAGUUCAAAAGAAAGGAGAUCACAGUCAGGCUGUUCAAGACCAAGCAGCGGCAGUGGACAGAGGGACAGGAAUAGACAUUUUAGAUCACCUGGUUCUGUGACUACAGUUUCUUAUACAGACAUCAGAACAAUACCUGCUUCAUUGAACUCUUGGAACAACUAAGUAUUACAACACUGGAUGUUCACAUUAUAUGUGUUCUAUUACCCUGUAGCAGCCAGGAGCCAUAAAGAGAGAGAAGCUUAUAUCUCGAGGUCAACAUACAGCUUUAUUCUUUUGUCUCCCUUCUCUGAGUUGUGACAGCAGAGGAAACACUGCAAACAUAAUUUGUGAAUCUUAUUUUCCGAUAAAUUUAAAAAGUAUACCCCAUUUUUGUGUUAGAGGAUUAUCUAUAGAAUACAAUAAGAUACCAGCUUUUAAAGUUACUCUGGAUGGGAAGGGAGAACAUGUGCUCUUUUUGAAUAAUACUUGUGGAAGAGUUGUCCUGACACAGGUGACACACUUGUAUUCAGAGGCUAACAUCUCAUAGGUCACUGUCCUGAAAGAGUGACAUAAUGUAUUCACUAUGCAUGACAGGCAUUAUGCAUCUUGGGAGACACUACAUAAGUUCAAGACAUUGCAAAUAUACAUAUGUAGAAUAAACUCUGUUCUUUUGUCUUAUGUAUAAUAAUUAAUUUAUAAUGACUAAUGUGAAGUCAUACAGGGAACAAGCUUUGCAGUGGUCAUGUCUGCUCAACAUGUUGCCGGUGGCUCUGAUGCUGCUCUGAGCAGCCUUGCAUGGCUGUCGUCUGCCUCUGACAGGCAAGAUGAUUCUCAGAGGUGAGCCUGGAUCUUCUGACUGCACUUCUGCUUUCUUCAGCGAGAUGCUCUUCUUCUGGAAGCUGGUUUCACAUGGUGGCUUAGAUUUUUCCAUCUUUGUAUCUAGCACCAUUUGAAAUCAGUGUUUUAGGAGUAAGAAUUGCAGCACAGCAGAGAUUAGACUACAGGCAAGCAGCUGUACACAGGACUGGCUCUCUGUCUUUCAAGAAGUCAAGGGAAGAACUGGACAGUGAAAUUUGCUCAAGUCUGUUUAGUUUAGAGGCAGCAAUAGUGGGGAAGUUGUGUUCAAAAUAAAUGCAAGGGCAUGAUCAGGGCAGGGAGUGAUCCCCUUUAUCCAGCAUUCCACGGGAGUGGGAGGGUGGCUUGGGCCUGGCCCUGUACUGUCUAUCGUCCAGUGAUGUUCUGGGUACUGAUUGUAGCAGAUAAGGGGAGAGUGCUCUGCACAUGGAGGACUGCUUCAUCCGCAUCAGUACUGCCUGCCUAUACCUGGAAGAUGUCUGGAGUGCUCAGUCGUGGUUGCGGCACAGCUGAAGUCAGACUUGCCAUUUGUCUGCCUUGAGGUUCAGACCUGAAGACCACCACUGGCCCAUCUCUUACACAGGCUGACCGAUUUCUCCUGGUGUUCAGAGUCUGUUUUUGUCUAGCACCAUUUGAAAUCGGUUAUGAUGUAGGGGGACGAGCACCAGCCUCAGAGCCUCGUGGUGUGUGGUCGGCAGCAGCCUGUCAUUGCCUACACAGGCAGAGCAGAGAAGGAAGAUCACAGUUUCCUGACUUCUUUAAUACAUGUGUGUGGUAGCAGAACUUAGAGAUAAUGGGUUUUAUAAUUAAAUUGUUGUAAUUUUAUCUGAUAUCCUCAGUUGCAGUUUCUUACAUGUACUACUGUUAACGAAUUGUAUAAACCAUUUUGCUGCUGAACUGUGUUUCUGUUCAUGCAUCCCGGCUUUAAUAAACAAUUUGCUAUAUUCAAUUUA